rnacentral:tRNA from 1 species
GUACCCGUAGUUCAACUGGAUAGAAUACCUGAUUACGAAUCAGGGGGUUACAGGUUCAACUCCUGUCGGGUACA